GAUGAAGAACGUAGCGAAGUGCGAUAAGUAGUGUGAAUUGCAGAAUUCAGUGAAUCAUCGAAUCUUUGAACGCACAUUGCGCCCCUUGGUAUCCCGAGGGGCAUGCCUGUUCGAGCGUCAUUUCACCACUCAAGCCUGGCUUGGUGUUGGGCGACGUCCCCUUUGGGGACUCGCCUCGAAACGCUCGGCGGCGUGGCACCGGCUUUAAGCGUAGCAGAAUCUUUCGCUUUGGAAGUCGGGGCCCCGUCUGCCGGAAGACCUACUCGCAAGGUUGACCUCGGAUCAGGCAGGGAUAUCCGCUGAACUUAAGCAUAUCAAUAAGCGGAGGA
rnacentral:misc_RNA from 1 species